rnacentral:rRNA from 1 species
GUAGGGAAUAUUGGGCAAUGGUCGGAAGACUGACCCAGCCAUGCCGCGUGCAGGAAGACGGCCCUCUGGGUUGUAAACUGCUUUUAUCUGGGAAGAAAAAGGCCAUGCGUGGCAAAUUGCCGGUACCAGAUGAAUAAGCACCGGCUAACUCCGUGCCAGCAGCCGCGGUAAGACGGAGGGUGCGAGCGUUGUCCGGAUUUAUUGGGUUUAAAGGGUGCGUAGGCGGCUGAUUAAGUCAGCGGUGAAAGACUUCGGCUUAACCGGAGCAGUGCCGUUGAUACUGGUUGGCUUGAGUGUCGGAGGGGUACAUGGAAUUGAUGGUGUAGCGGUGAAAUGCAUAGAUACCAUCAGGAACACCGAUAGCGAAGGCAUUGUACUGGCCGACAACUGACGCUGAUGCACGAAAGUGUGGGGAUCGAACAGGAUUAGAUACCCGGGUAGUCC